rnacentral:rRNA from 1 species
AUUGAACGCUGGCGGCAGGCCUAACACAUGCAAGUCGAACGGUAACAGGAAGAAGCUUGCUUCUUUGCUGACGAGUGGCGGACGGGUGAGUAAUGUCUGGGAAACUGCCUGAUGGAGGAGGAUAACUACUGGAAACGGUAGCUAAUACCGCAUAACGUCGCAAGACCAAAGAGGGGGACCUUCGGGCCUCUUGCCAUCGGAUGUGCCCAGAUGGGAUUGGCUAGUAGGUGGGGUAACGGCUAACCUAGGCGACGAUCCCUAGCUGGUCUGAGAGGAUGACCAGCCACACUGGAACUGAGACACGGUCCAGACUCCUACGGGAGGCAGCAGUGGGGAAUAUUGCACAAUGGGCGCAAGCCUGAUGCAGCCAUGCCGCGUGUAUGAAGAAGGCCUUCGGGUUGUAAAGUACUUUCAGCGGGGAGGAAGGGAGUAAAGUUAAUACCUUUGCUCAUUGACGUUACCCGCAGAAGAAGCACCGGCUAACUCCGUG